UGGGGAAUCUUGGACAAUGGGGGCAACCCUGAUCCAGCCAUGCCGCGUGAGUGAUGAAGGCCUUAGGGUCGUAAAGCUCUUUCGCCUGUGAAGAUAAUGACGGUAGCCGGAGAAGAAGCCCCGGCUAACUCCGUGCCAGCAGCCGCGGUAAUACGGAGGGGGCUAGCGUUGUUCGGAAUUACUGGGCGUAAAGCGCGCGUAGGCGGACUGAUCAGUCAGGGGUGAAAUCCCGGGGCUCAACCCCGGAACUGCCUUUGAUACUGUCAGUCUUGAGUCCGGAAGAGGCGAGUGGAAUACCGAGUGUAGAGGUGAAAUUCGUAGAUAUUAGGUGGAACACCAGUGGCGAAGGCGCCUAACUGGUCCGGUACUGACGCUGAGGAACGAAAAGCGUGGGGAGCGAACAGGAUUAGAUACCCUGGUAGUCCACGCCGUAAACGGUGGGCGCUAGGUGUGGGGAUCGUUUCCACGAUCUCCGUGCCGUAGCUAACGCAUUAAGCGCCCCGCCUGGGAGUACGGCCGCAAGGCUAAAACUCAAAGG
rnacentral:rRNA from 1 species